UUAUCGGAGAGUUUGAUCCUGGCUCAGGACGAACGCUGGCGGCGUGCCUAAUACAUGCAAGUCGAGCGGACAGAUGGGAGCUUGCUCCCUGAUGUUAGCGGCGGACGGGUGAGUAACACGUGGGUAACCUGCCUGUAAGACUGGGAUAACUCCGGGAAACCGGGGCUAAUACCGGAUGGUUGUCUGAACCGCAUGGUUCAGACAUAAAAGGUGGCUUCGGCUACCACUUACAGAUGGACCCGCGGCGCAUUAGCUAGUUGGUGAGGUAACGGCUCACCAAGGCGACGAUGCGUAGCCGACCUGAGAGGGUGAUCGGCCACACUGGGACUGAGACACGGCCCAGACUCCUACGGGAGGCAGCAGUAGGGAAUCUUCCGCAAUGGACGAAAGU
rnacentral:rRNA from 1 species